AAGGAUUUAAGUUAAAAAAAUAAACUUGUAGUCUUCAAAUCUACCAAUAAAGAUCCGCUUUAAGCCUUA
rnacentral:tRNA from 1 species